UCUAAUACAAGAUGAUGAACCUCAGAAAAAUAGCCAUCUUUGCUUUGCUAAUCGUCCUCGCUGCUCAGGUGUUGGAGGGCCGUCUUCAAUCCUGCAAUCCGAGUGGCAAAAUCAGAGGAAAGAAGCCACCUCCGGGGCAAUGCAACCAGGAAAACGACUCCGAUUGCUGUAAACAGGGGAAGCUCUACACCACUUACAAAUGCUCCCCCUCCGUUUCUGGCAGCACGAAGGCAGUUCUCACCAUAAACAGCUUCCAGAAGGGUGGAGACGGAGGCGGCCCAUCAGAAUGUGACAAUCAGUACCACUCUGACGACACACCAGUCGUCGCCCUAUCAACUGGUUGGUACAGCGGAGGGAGCAGAUGCCUCAACAACGUAACUAUAAGUGGCAAUGGCCGGAGUGUGACAGCAAUGGUGGUGGAUGAGUGUGAUUCCACCAUGGGAUGUGAUGAGGAUCACGAUUAUCAGCCACCGUGUCCUAACAACAUUGUCGACGCCUCAAAGGCUGUCUGGGAAGCCUUGGGGGUUCCCGAAGGCGACUGGGGGGAGCUGGAUAUCACUUGGUCUGAUGCUUAAUGUUUUAUAUGUUAAUCUCUUUUAACUGCUGUGAAACAUAUGUAAAAGUAUGGUGUAAUAAUAAAACUUAGCAAAUCUUGUCAUAAACAUACUGUCAAUCGCAGUUUUUUCACUUAUUUUCACAUCCAUGAUCAAAAUUCUUAAGAAACACAGUUGUUCAAAAUGCUAUGUGGAUUAAUCACUGUAGUUCUUGUUCAUUUCUAUGAAGCUUUUCCUAAUCUUACACAGCUUGUCUGAAGCUUGAGAAAAUGGCUUUCUCCCAUGAAUUUUUUCCAAUCAAAAACUAGAUAUUUUACAAGAUUCCACCAAGGCUGUAAAGGAAUCAAACAAUUCAAUAAAAUACUAAUCAUAAGCAGAGAUGCACUGUCCACAUAUUUCUGAGAAGCUGGGAAAAUGACAAGGAUUCCUUGUUCAUGGCAGCAAGGAGAAUCCUCGAACACAUAAAACUGUCGUUAACUCUAUCAAGCACUAUAAAAAUAUGCUUGAAACAAAUCUAACUUCACACCAUUAAGCAAGAAAAAUCUGUAAGAAGAAGAGGAAGCAAAAAUGAGAAACCAAACCUUGUCAUUCUUGCUCUUCUCUGUCUUGAUCAUGUCGUUGAGCUCGAGUGUCGAUGCUAGAGCUAAAACCUGCAAACCAAGUGGCAAGAUCAAGGGCAAGAAACCUCCUAAAGAAAAUGCAAUCAGGACCACGACUCCGAUUGCUGGAAAGUGGCAAGUACUACGACACCUACAAGUGCUCGCCCCCGGUCACUGGCCGGACUAAAGCAGUCCUGACUAUCAAUGGCUUCGGGAAAGGUGAUGACGGUGGAGGGCCGGCAGAGUGUGAUGGCAAGUACCACUCGGACGACACCCCCAUCGUGGCUCUCUCGACGGGGUGGUUCAACAACAUGAAGAGGUGCUUCCAGAACAUCACCAUUCAUGGCAAUGGGAAGAGUGUGGCUGCCAUGGUGGUGGAUGAGUGUGACUCAACUGUGGGGUGCGAUGACGAGCACGACUACCAGCCGCCGUGCCCCAACAACAUUGUCGAUGCUUCUGAAGCUGUCUGGAGAGCUCUAGGAGUGCCUAAAAAUGAUUGGGGUGAAAUGAAAAUCAAGUGGUCUACUUGAUCAAGAACAGAACCAGCACAGAAUUCAGAGACUUGUUGAAGACUUUGUGUUUUUAAGGAAUAAGAGUUUGUUUGUGGUGAGUCAAUCUUUGUUUUCUAGGAGAUUGCAAUAUAUUUGUUAAAAAUAUACCCAUGUAGCAACAUAUGUGCAUAUCAAGAUAUAUACAAUAAAUAUAUAUUUGUUUUCUUUUCUAUGUUUUACUAUUUAUAGAAAGUUACCAGACUUACAAUACAUUGGUUUAUCUCAAAAUGCACUCUUAAUAUUUUUAGAGAAGAAUAAAAAAUGCUGCAGUUAAUCAGAGUAUGGAUGGUUAAAGAAAGAACUUAAUCAUCAAACAACUUUCCAAAUGGUUUAAACCUAUAAAAUCUACUUACAAUUUUUUACAUGAAAUUUUUGUUCCAUGAUGAACAGAUGAUAUGAAUCAUAGCUCGUCGUUUGAAGUUUUGGAGACGAAAUUUAGCAGAUAGGCCAAUGCACAAGUCUUGACAGCGAUGAAGAAAAGAUCAACUGAGACGGCAUUUCAGUUGAGCAUAAGACUGUAUCUCUGUCAUCUUAUAUACAGAUAACAUAGCAGAAGAAGUCACAUAUCUUGAGCACUUUUUUGGAGUUAUUUAUUGAAAAUGAAUCUAUUUAAACACUCAAACUUCAUCCCAUUUCUGCAUCCAAAAAUCAGUGUUUCAAUACUAAACUUAAAGAAAACAUAGAGCCAAGAUGAAGAACCUCAACAAAGUAGCCAUCUUUGCUUUGCUAAUCAUCCUUGCUGCUCAGGCGUUGGAGGGCCGUCUUCAAUCCUGCAACCCGAGUGGCAAAAUCAGGGGAAAGAAACCACCUCCGGGGCAAUGCAACCAGCAAAAUGACUCCGAUUGCUGUAAACAAGGGAAGCUCUACACCACUUACAAAUGCUCUCCCCCCAUUUCUGGAAGC
rnacentral:lncRNA from 1 species